GUGCUUGCUUUGGCAGCACAUUUACUAAAAUUGCGACGAUACAGAGAUUAGUAUGGCCCCUGCACAAGAAUCACAUGCAAGUUCAUGAAGCAUUCCAUAUUUUU
ensembl:snRNA U6 U6 spliceosomal RNA